CCCAGUUCUCUGAGGGCUUCUCCUGCUGGAGCACCGGCCAGCAGCUAUCGAGGCUUCUUGAGAAUUUUUCACAUCAUGGCUGGAUUUCAUUCUGAAAUGUCCCAGGAACCCUCCUUCUGAGACUUGUGAAGCCACUGCAUGUCCCCCAUGUUACCCUCACAGCUCGAGGGCGCACACACAUGACUCGUGUUUCAGACACAUGGCUGACCUGAUUUGAAGCCACUGGCUCCAAAGCUCCAUGCUGCAAAGGGGUGAAGAGGGCGUUCCCGGGCCCAGCUGGCUGUGCCCAGCGUCGGAUCUGCCAAUCAUCUGGCAUCCGUUCCCAGCUGGUCCGGAGCACUGAGCAAAGAGCUCAGCAGACAGUGUGCACACCGGAGCGAAGCAGGAUGAGCAGCUUCUGGAGCAGACUUCUCUCAGGGGCCUGGCCUGGGAGCUGUUCUUCCGGCAGCUGGAACGUGACGUGAAGAAUUUCACCACGCAAAACUCAGUAACUGGAAGGUCUUUCAACACGCGCACCCUUGACUGCUACCCUAAAAGCCCUCGGGAAGCCAGGCACGGCGGAGCUCCCCCAUAAUCCCAGCACUUGUGGGGCAGAAGCAGAUGUGUUGCUGGGACACACCAACUGCAUCCGUGCGCUUCAGCCUACAGCCCUGGAGGAAAGAAGGAGUCUCACCUCAGCAGUAACAACAACAACAACAAAAAUAAUAACAACAACAACAAAAAUAAUAAUAACAACAAUAAUAACAACAACAAUAAUAACAACAACAACAAUACAUCGAAUUUCAGCCCAGUCGCUCAACUCUUCCAAAGAUUACCCUUCCCUGGAGGAAAGCCGUUUCGUUUUCGAGCAGGUUGGGGUCUCUGGGGGACCUUGUAAAAUCAUGUCUCCUGACUCUCACCACGUGGCUCCUUUCAGCACUCAGAUUUGUCACCUAAUUAAGAAGCUCCAUUGAUGUCCCCAAAUGAUUGUUCUGCUGAAAGACAUGUUCAGAACUUUCUCCGAAGAUCAGCAAAGUUUCCUCUUUUUUUGUUUGA